GCUGGGGACGCUGGACUCUGGAGUGAAAAUGACCCACGCUCUCCUCUGCUCCCGUUUUCACCUUGGGCAUCAUUGUCAUCAUCAUUAUGAGCAGCAGCCGGAAAAGCAUUAAUGGAGCACCUGCUGUAUGCCAGGCCUUGCGCCUGCUGCGCUUGUAACGGCAAUUCUCAUGCAGCCUGCACAGCAGCCUGUAGCCUGUUUCUAUUGUUAGCUGAGGACACCCAGGCUUAGAAAUGGAGUCACCUGCCUGGUGUCCCCAGCUGGUGAGGGCUUGGGCCAGGUGCACCCUGUCUGUUUGACCCCAAAGCCAGGGCUCAGCACCGCUGGGCAGAUGAUUACUGCAAUGUCACACAUAAUGUGAAAAUUGGGAGGCGCUGAGGAAGCCUGAGGCACUGGUCCCUUUCUUCUGGUGACAUGCUGGGUGACUUUGGACAGAUCUAUCAACCCCUCUGAGUAUUCGAUGUCCGUCUUUGCCAGUCGGCUGAAGCUGGGAGACCGAGUGCCUGCGGGGAGCCUCCAGCCCCCAGUUCCUUUCAAUCAUCACCAGCGUGCCUCACACUUACCACCAGGUGGCAGCAGAGGACUUGCCUGGCCGCCGAGACCUUGGCCGCAGGAGACUUGCCGAACCUCAGCCUUAAAGGUCACCUUCACUCUUCAAGACAGUGGGAAGCGGCCGCAGCAAACAUCCGCAGAGGGCCUGGCUCCGGGAGCCUCUGGACUGCGUGCUGCCAAGCUGUGGGAGACCCACCCUGACCCCCGGGGAGCUAGUGUCCAGCAGGGGAGACUGAGAUGGGAAGACACAAAAGCCGUGCUGGAAGCCAGCGGUGUUUCUUUACCAUGAGCAGUUUUGGGGUUUCAUUUGCUUGUGUGUAAAAUCACUUGAAAAAGGAGGCGUCACUGUCUGGAAGGCCAGGGCUGUGCUGGGGUCCCUGGGGGCUCUGGCGGGGUUUCCUCCGCGCAGAAUGACGUCACUCCCCGGCUUCCGGCCCAGGUCAGCUCUUCCUAGGAAGCCUCUUGUGAAGAGCAGCCCCCGUCCCGCCCACAUCCGCAGAGGCCUGUGAGUGGGGCAGGGCGGUCGCCGUUUGCACACAGCAGCAUCUGGAGGGAUGAGCUCGCCUGAUUCCAUGCAGAAUCGAACUCAGCUCCGUGGUUCACACUUGUUUCCAGAGAUGCCAACAAGCUGCUCUUCCCCGAGUCCCCGCAGGUGUGCACCUUUGGGAAGGUAUCAGAUAGUGACCUCCUGGGCUGGGCUGUGCCUGUGUGCACCUGUCACGAGCAGGGCUGUGGGGGUGGAGAUGUUAACCAUCUCACCAGAGGAGGGCUGGACUGGAUCCAAGAAACUUUUUUCCCCCUGGGAUGGAAUUUGAAAGUGGAAAAAAAGUCACAUAAAAAUCAGUGUAGCUAAUUAACAAGAAUACAUGGAACAGUCUCCGUCGUUUUCCAAGUCUGCUAUGCUGCGGCACAUAAGUAGAGGUUGAAACAACAAUGGCAACAGCGGUGAGAAAGGAUACGGGGCCUGCUGAGAUCUGCAUCCUGUCCUUAAGGGCCUGAUGGUUUUGAAUUGUCCUCCAAGGCCACUGCCGUGGUUGGAGAGGCCGACGUGUCAUCAGCACAGCUAAAACAGACAACUCGGGAAAUAUGGGAACCUGGGGGAGACUGGAGCCCAAGUCGCUGCAAAUCCUUGAUGAGGAGACACAAGAAACCACUACUUCAAAGCUGGAGGCAGCUUCUGCACAGAACAGAUUCAUGUUUGCAUUUGGGGAUGACUGUCUGCUCACUCUGGGACGUCCAUGGUUCUGCACAUGUGUAGCCGGGGGACAUGUUUCUGUUCUUGGAAGACCUGGAAGAUUUAUAUUGUUUUAUUUUUUUUUAAUUCUUUUUGAGGCAGAGUCUCACUCUGUCGCCCAGGCUGGAGUACAGUGGUGCAAUCUCAGCUCACUGCAACCUUCACCUCCCAGGUUCAAGCGAUUCUCUUGUCUCAGACUCUUGAGUAGCUGGGACUACAGGUGCACGCCACCAUGCCUGGCUGAUGUUUUGUGUUUUUAUUAGAGACAGGGAUUCACCAUAUUGGUCAGGCCGGUUUCGAACUCUUGACCUCAGGUGAUCCACCUGCCUCGGCCUCCCAAAUUGCUGGGAUUACAGGUGUGAGCCACUGCCCCUGGCUGGAAGCCUUUAGUGGUGUAAACUGUGGGUGGGUUUUAGCAGAUCCGUGUCUCCGUGGGUUAUGUUUUCUCCGUGUCUCCGUGGGUUAUGUUUUCUUUACAUCAGAUAUUUCUUUCCUCACUACCUGGAAGAGGUACCCGUUCUUUCCAAGCAUGGGUUAAUGAGAAGGAAGCAACAAAAGGCUGGGAGAGAACACAUGGAGGGAAGCUGCCGUUGGUCUCGAAGCUGUGCCAUGGCGGGUACCGUCUCCCCUCUGAUGAAUUUAUAACCCCCUAUGUGCUACCAUUUCAGGUUAAACCAACUUGACCAAGGACUUCCAGUUUCUUGGAAAAUGAUAGUUUUGCUAACCUUCCUGCUGAUUAUAAACUCUGGACAAAAUAGAAACAACCAUUAUUUGAAGGCAUUGGAAAGUGACAUAAAGCAUGAAAAAAAAAAAAAACUCAAGCUAAAGAGGUAUGACCCUUGCAAAAAAGGGAGCCAUGCUUAUCUGGGUUUUGUUCUCAGAUCCUUCUUCAGACCGCCCCAUAUGGAAUGGAGCUGAAGUGGAACAGUAGUUUUGUUGGGCUGAGAGGUCAGAGGCCAGAGUUCAAGGCUGCCAAAAAACAACAACAAAAAAAGGGAGCCACAGAGAGGGGAGCUCCUAAAUCUAGCACAAAUUUCCCUGAAACCCUUGGCUGAUAACUAAAGUUUGCAUGUGCAAGCCAAGACUCCAGAAAGCCCAGAAAGCAGGAACAGCUGGAGGCUGAGAGCUGGGCAGACAUUUCAGCAUCUGGCUAGUCCCGGAAAGACCAAGUUUGGAGUUCAUGUGAUAAGCACCUUGAGCUUUUCAUCAGAAACCCUGGGAUAGAGUAAGUUUUUCUAUGUGCUGAAGUAAAGUCAUUGUUAAUUAUAUAGUCAGAAGACAGAAGGAUACUAUAUUCAAACUGCUGAGAGAACAAUCAGUCCCCUACAUACCCAGCUAAACUAUCACUCGAGAAUGAUAGCAAAAUAAAGAUGUUUCAGAUACACAAAAACCAGAAGUUCACCAACAGCAUACAAAAGAUACAUACCAAAGGACUUCUAUUUGAUGGCUUUUAAAGUGAUCUAAAACAUUGGUCAGGUGGGAUUUAAAGAUGACCAGGAUUUUGUGCUAUUCUGUAGAGAUAUUUAGACUUUAAGUUAGCAAUGCCUGCUAAAAUUUAAAAAGAUACUUUUCAAAAUAGAUGGAAUAAAGGAAUUUUACAAAACUUUUAA